UCCCUGACAGUCCAGGAGUUAAGACUCUGCACUCCCAAUGCAGGGGCAAAGGGUUUGAUCCCUGUUCAGGAAA
rnacentral:tRNA from 1 species